ACAGAACCAUUGGCUGCACUCGUAGAGGUAAAUCGAAGAACGUAAUUACCAGUAUCAGUAAAAAAUUCACGAGGAAGCCCCAUGAAAUUCCGUGAAACACUACCUAGGAUGCGAUCCUGCUCGUUUCGCAACAGAAACUCCCAACUUAGCACUCGCUCAUCAAUUUUGGCAAACUGUUCAAACAUAGAACGCUUCGCAAGGAACAAUUCAUAGCGACGGCGCCAUAAAUGCCAUUUUUGAAGGACUUCGCCAACUAAAGUAGACGAGAACUUACUGUAAUCAAUAGAAUGAAUUUGUAACCGGGAGUUUAUCCAAGAAAAUGGUCGAUUGAGUUGUAACACCAACUGGCCGUUACUGUCCAUUACAUCUGCCUUAAACGCACGAUGUGUGUGGAAAAAUUGUCUUGAUAAACUUGAUAAUAUGGAUGAGGCACCCUGUUCUGCAAUGUAUCCAAGAUGCUGACCUUGUUGGUUAAGAAUUACAUAGCGGUUAGCCUGUUCAUAACCAAGAAAAACAUUCAUCAUUUCAAGUUGCCUCUCUACUAUAAGAACAUCUUGUGAUAAUAAAGGGGCCGCUGGAGAAUUUAAUGGAAUAGCUCCAGUACUGCUAAUGGCAGCAGGCUCUUGAGAGACUACUUUCGCUGUAGCGUCAAUGUAUCGUGUAGAUUUGCUAUGAUGAUAAAGGCGACAUCCA